GGCGGACGGGUGAGUAAUACUUAGGAAUCUGCCCAUUAGUGGGGGACAACUCGGGGAAACUCGAGCUAAUACCGCAUACGCCCUACGGGGGAAAGCGGAGGACCUUUCGGGGCUUCGCGCUAAUGGAUGAGCCUAAGUCGGAUUAGCUUGUUGGUGAGGUAAAGGCUCACCAAGGCGACGAUCCGUAGCUGGUCUGAGAGGACGAUCUGCCACACUGGGACUGAGACACGGCCCAG
rnacentral:rRNA from 1 species